rnacentral:rRNA from 1 species
UACAGAGGGAGCGAGCGUUGUUCGGAUUUACUGGGCGUAAAGGGCGAGCAGGCGGGCCGGUAAGUCGGUUGUGAAAACUGUUGGCUCAACCAACAGAUUGCAGUCGAAACUGUCGGCCUUGAGUCCAGGAGAGGAGAGUGGAAUCCCAGGUGUAGCGGUGAAAUGCGUAGAUAUCUGGGAGAACACCGGUGGCGAAGGCGGCUCUCUGGCCUGGUACUGACGCUGAGGCGCGAAAGCUAGGGGAGCAAACAGG